GAUGAACGCUAGCUACAGGCUUAACACAUGCAAGUCGAGGGACCGGCGCACGGGUGAGUAACACGUAUCCAACCUGCCCUUUACUCGGGGAUAGCCUUUCGCAAGAAAGAUUAAUACCCGAUAUAAAGGAUGGGGAUGCGUUCCAUUAGGUUGUUGGUGAGGUAACGGCUCACCAAGCCUUCGUUGGAGAGUGGUUAUGAGAGGAAGGUCCACCACAAUGGAGAUGAGACACGGUCCAAAUCACUAGGGGAGGCAGCAGUGAGGAAUAGUGGUGAAUGGGCGCUAGCCUGACCCAGCCAAGUAGCGUGAAGGAUGAAGGGUUAUGGGUCGGAAACUUCUUGUAGAUAAGAAUAUGUAUUAGAUGAAUAAGGAUCGGCUAACUCCGUGCCAGCAGCCGCGGUAAUAC
rnacentral:rRNA from 1 species